rnacentral:tRNA from 1 species
UGGGAUGUCGCCAAGCGGUAAGGCACGGGACUUUGACUCCCGCACUCGUCUGUUCAAAUCCGGCCAUCCCAG